GUGUUCACUGAAUUUCUAAGCGGAUUGAGCUUCAGCAAGGAAAUUGGGUAGUGGGCAUAGAAGCUUAGAGUGAAUCAAGUGACUUUUUUUAAUGUUAUCUUGAAUUUGCUGUUGAAUAUUUAAAAUCUUGUCUUAGAGGGAAUUGGGCAAAAACCAGAAUUCUUUCCUUGCUGUCAGAAGAGUUCACCAACUUUUCUGGACAGAAAUGUUAGUUGUUGGAUAAUGAAAAGCAGGAAUGUGUAUUGCAGGACUGUGGCUAAUGAAUUAUUUGAUUCCUCCUCUCUGCAUUGCCUCACAUCCAUUAUAAACAAAAGAGAAAAAGGGAGAAUCCUAAGUGCUGGAUAAUGAGAGCAGACUAGAGAGAAAUGUACCUGGUCUGGGGAGUCGAUAGAGGGAAGUGAACACUCAGCAGAGCUCUAGAAAGGACUGAUGAGCUGAGAACUCAGGAAGGACUGCUGGGCCUGAAGAAUGAUGGCUGACACAAGUACAAGCUCUUCCAAGGAGUUUGAAACUCUUCAUAGGAACUUGUAUCAUAUUUUUGAGUGCUUGGCAGUGCUGCAGCAGGGGUGAUGCAUGAAACCAGAAUGACAGUGUUGUCUUUGGUCAAGAGGCAGGAAAGUUUAAAAUGCUGAGAUGAACUGAAGAAGGAUCUGAAAGAACAUCAGGAAAUGCUUAUAGUACCCAAGAAGAUGCAGCUCAACAGGUAAGUUGCUUUUUCCACUGAACCAGUUCUUCUCAUGUGAUCUGCUCCGUUAGAUAUAGUUGUUCAUCCCCCAUGAUAAGUUCUACUAUGUGAUUUUAAAAUGUUUUUCCACUUUUAUUUUGCCCUUAACACCUUCUGGUUGUUUUCAUUCUCUUGACUGCAGAGUACCACACUUGAAAAUCUGAAAUCAUAUUUCAUAUGAAGAUAUGUUUCUCAUUCUGACUAUACCACAGCACAAGAGACAUCCAAAAAGAAAAAUAAGCUGAAAUGAGAGCAGGAUGACAGUAUACAUAGUUUUCAGUUCACUCAAAAACUGUUGUACACAAACACUCCUACACUGGUCUGAACAAGGCUUUAUUUGCAGACUGAAAACAACAGUAAUUUGAUGUGAGAAAGUAUUUCUACAAAUAUAUAUAAAAAGUACAUGUAGAUGAGAAUAUAAAUAUUACAAAAUAACUUGUCUUUAUCCUUACUGCUUAAUUUAAUCCCUGACAUGUUAGGUAACUGCUGUGCUGUGUUGGUACAGGCCUGCACACGAUUGCUUAUAUUUAUGGAUGUGCAAAUGGAACUGCAAUAGUCUGGAAUGAUAGAUAUUGGUGCUUAAAGUGCUACUCCUGAAAAGUAGGCUUUUUAAUUUUCUGAGCAAGGCUUGAAAAUGUUUCACUGAACUGAAACUGGGCUGUUAGGGCUAAUGGCUUUUUAGAGCUGCAUUUUCUUACAACUUCAUGUUUUAUGGUUCUGUCUGAUUUGAUGCCUUCCCCUAUGGUUAUGAAGACCCCAUGUUUUUACUAAGAAUGUGAAGGUAAGCUGCUUGGUUGUUUUGCUUUGUUUGUGUUAGUCCUACAUAUGUAUACAAUAGAUUUAAAAACUAAAGAGAAUAAUUAAAAUACUAUAGUGUAUUUUAUGUAAUGUAUGACAUGUCCCUAUAAGCUAGAAAAAAUUGUAUUUUAUUUUAUCAGAAGGAAAAAAAAAGUUAGGGGAUGGGUCAAACCAAGCAUUUUAUUUCUCUCCUCCUCAAAUAGAUGAAAUUGGCUGCUGUUAACAAUCUCAUUAAUGCACCAUUAUGUCACUGCAUGUAAAAUCUUGCCCAGCUUUCACUGGGUGAAAUCAUUAUAUGCCCACGAUAUUGAGUUCUGCCACAAUAAAUUAAUCUGCUUCAGUGCUAUUGCACUGCUGGGGCUGAACUAUGUAAGCAAGCAGCUGGUGUUUGCCUCACUUGCAGCAUCAGAAGGGUGAAGAGGAGGUGGCUUUCUGGUGCCAAGAUUCCUACUGAAACAUCAGCUGAGGAUAGGACAGGUCUUUUUGCUGAUUUUCAUACACUACAGCUGGACUUAAUGUGAAUAAAUGUGGGAGGGAAGGAGAAGGUGCUUAUAUUGAGCAGAAUUAAAUAUAAACUUGGAUCUAAAUAAUCUUAUGAGCUCAGCUGAGCUAUGAGUCUCUUCAGUUUUAACUUCAUUUUUGAGUGGACUGAAUAUAUUUCUAUUGUUUAACACUACAGUGUUUUGUAUUAGCUGUUACAAUUUUAUGACUGACUGAUAAAGCAGUUCUUUUAAUAGCAUGAAUCCAAACAGCAGAGUUUUGUUGAAUUCUUCUGAAAUUCUCCUAGGCAGCUUUCCUCAUACCUGCACGGUGAUGAAAAAGAUGACUGUCAGAACUACUGUUUAAAGUUAAGUGUCACGUAUUGACUGUAAGCCCUUGUUACAACCUCUCAGCGCCCCCCAUCUCUUGUGUCCAUGAGCUCAGACAGAUGUGAGCCUGGAGCCCGUUUGAAAAAUCAGCAAAAAGAAACCACUCCCUUUCACUCAAUUUUAAAUGGAGCUACAGACUUUGAGUUCAGACAGUUUCAGGAAAUAGUUAAAGUCCCCAACAGAGCAGAGCAUUAAAAAUGUGAAAAUGCUCUGCCACGUGGAAAGAGCCAAGAAUAAUUAGGUUCCAAACUCCAGCAGCUAUAGCAGACUGUAAUAUUUCAUUUUUUUAUUGCGAUGAUGCAAUUGCAAUUUGAGAUGUCGGUCUUAAGAGUUAACCAAAAUAGUUUAACUCAUUUCCUAACCAGGAAGGUCUAGGGACUUACGUAUGCAGGCAGUAAGAUCAGUUACCUGUUGGCCUGAACUUCUCGAUCAGAGGAACAAAGCUGCUGAGCACGCUCCGAAGUCGAUACACUAUUUGUGAAAACACAUUUUUUUUUUCAAGAUAAGCCAGAUAUAAACAUAAAAUACAAAACACUGAAAAACAGCAAGUCAAGCAAAUGCCAGUUAUACCAUUAAAGAACCUAGGAUUACUGCUUAAAUAAGUGCUUCUGUGCAAUCACUGGUAGCUAAGUAGUGACAAGUGUAAUUCCUCAUAGAACCAUCCACAACCUACCAAACAUAGUAGCACAAACUUAGACUUCUGUUCUCAGUUUAAAAGCCAUGCCUUGCUGCUAGCUCCAUCUUUCCUUUGAGAUCCCAGAGAUGGUCGAGAAUCUUUUUUCUGUGGUUUUUGUUUUUGAUUUUUUUUUUAAAUAUAAAAUCCUUAGUAACUGCCAUCAUCCAGGUUCUGCCGGAAUUUGGUCCUUGGUGUUCAGCAGCCUCAGUCCUGGGGGAACGAAUGGCAGCUCGAGUGCACAGCACCUUAAAGAACAUAUCUGCAAAGACUGCCUCACUGCUAAAAUUAUAUGUUGUCAUGGCAACACAGCAUUCUGCCAUUGCUACAGAAAGAGGUGACUCAGGGUCUUGUGACCAGUGAGAACCACAUCUGCCUACAGUGUCACAGAGGCAUGUUUGUUUUCAGCCACGCUGUGUAACUGUGAAUGAGACAGGAUGGUUCGGUGACAAUUUAAAGAAUCUCAGCAUUAGCCAUUUUCUAGAUUUGUGUAGUUAAGUGACUGCGUGCCCUUGUAUCCAUAGCGUUGGUACAGAACUGGCUGCUGUAGAUACUUACCUAGACCAAAGUAAAUCCCAGUGGUUUCCAGAGAAGCAAAGGUGAUUAAACCAAUUCCAAGAGAAAUUGUCCAAUCUAAGACAACAAAAUAGGUGUUUGGCUUUGUGCACUUCCUGGAGUACAGCAGUUUACCCUUCUGUUGAAGUCUUGCCUUACCUUUGUAGUAGUAGUAGCAAACUAGUAAGGCUCCAAUUGCAAAGCAAAGAAUAACAAAAUGAAAGAAUUCGUCUGAAAUAAAGAGGGGAAAUGAGGUCACAACUGUUGGCACAGUUCCCUUAGGAAUACACAUGAAGUUGUAGUGUGUUACUCGGUGAAUAAAGCGCACUUCCAUGACAGAUGUCUCUCUCAUACACUGAGCUCAACUGCAAAACACACAGCUUGUCAUGUGAGAGGCUUUAAUGGCCUUCGUCAAGAAGGCCCCAUGAACUUCAACAAACUACUCAUGUGGAGAACUUUUUUGACUUAGAAAACUUAUUCUUGGUCUAAUGUUCAAUGGGACUGAUAUCAACUGGAUUAAAAAAAAAAAUUACCAUCCUUGCGUAUGCCCAUCCAUCGUACUGUCCACCAUUGAGGGUGAAUGUUCUUGUUCCCAUAUGCUGUGAGAAAGAGAUGUCUUUUAUUGCCAUGUAACUAUGAAUUUCAGGCAUCUUAACUUUCUUUCCCUUUUUGUAGCUAAAAAUCUGAGAGCAGAAAAUACAUUUCUACAUCUAUAUAUCUAUAUAUACAAUAUAUACAGUAUAUAUAGUGUGUGUAUAUAUAAGUUUGUUCAGAGGAAAAAACAGUGAAUUUUUCAGGGAGAUCAAAUUAGAAGUUUUAAAAUUGCCUCCCAAAUGGUCUGUAACAAUUGUAAAAAUAGCACUAUUGAAUUAACAAUUCCAAAUUGCUUUUAAAGCACUCUAGGUCUUUCUGUUAAGUCUGGGGCAAUCAUGGUCUCAGAACUAAAGCAGUGGUACAAGGGAGCUUCAGUUUGAUUUGUGAUGUCACUUACACAACAGUAUAACAAUCUUCAUUAGUAUCAAUAUAUGAAUAUUGUCAGUCUAUUUAUUUAGGUCUAAUAUAGUAUUUCUGCACCUCCCAAAUGAAGAACUGUAGUAGCUGACAAUGACUCUUAUGGGUAUCUAAUUAUAUUAAUACAGAGGAAGAAGAACAUAAGAACAAGCUUGGUAUUUUUAAAGUUUCAAAUAUAAUUAUUAACGUUAACAUAGCAUGGCACUACUUUAACUCAAAGAUGUUUCUCUGCAUGGUUUUCUAUGUGAAGGUCUGUAGUGACAGAAUUUGUAUGAAUUAACAUUCUGAUCUGUUAUGUGUCUGUUCUGUUACUCUCCCUCCUGAAUGCAAUAGUACUGUGGUAACUUUGCAUCAGAUCAUACUUUGCACAGUAUUUCUCCUAUCAAAGCAUUAUAAUGCAUUUCAAUAAUUAUUCUUAAAGCUUCUACUUUUUACUUACAAAAUACCUAAGCACCAAGAAGCUGGGAUAGCUGCCACUGCUGAGUAAAACUGAAUGCUGAAAGAAUGCAUUCACAAGAAAAACUUGUUUUGCUUGUUAGUAUUUACCAUCUGCAGUUGAAUGUUCUCUUCUGGUUAUUUCUGAAAAGCAACAUAAUUGUAUUAUUUCUGUGAUAAAAACACUUGCAUGUUUUUCCACAUCAGUAGCAGUACUGGCAAGCAGGAUGAAUAUUGUGUACUGGGACUCAGUAUAGGUAAAACAGCACUAGAAACUGCCACAAAUAUGAUGAAAUCAGAAAGAACCCCAAGGUAAGAUAAUGGAAAACACUUAUUUGCAGUGGUCCCAUGUGACUCUGGAAUAGCUGGACAGUAGAUAUUGAUGGUAUCCCUGUUAGUAUUUGGUUGCUAGAAAUGAAGUUGGAACUGGGCUGAGUCAGAAAUGAGCUGUGUCCACAAAUCACAUGAACCUUUCAAAUGCAGUAGACAGGGUGUCCUGUACUAGCUAAAUAUUUUCAGUGACUUGGUCUAGUGUACUGAACUAAUCUAGCAUUGAAGUAACAAAGGCUGCAGAGAGGUGACGCAUCAGGGACAAAAGCCAACUGGAGAAGUGCUGCGUUCCUUUCCUCACCUGGCAAUGGGGGGAGAAUGUUGUACUGCAGUACAGUCCUCUGCUCCUGUGUUCUAUAUAGCUCCUCAGUGAUGGGUAACUCAGAAUUCUCCCCUCAGGAUUAUUCUGCCAUUUACUCUCUCUUCUCAACUCUUUCCUCAGCUGAAGGAGUCUGAGUUACAGCAACUCUUCCCCACUUCAUGGGAAAGAAAUAGUUGAACAGCUGUCCUCUCAGAAGGGCCAGCCUGCUUCGUGCUCUGCUUUGCAUAGCUAAUCAAUGUGGAAUUGACCUGGGACUGAGAUGGAUGAUGUUGAUAAUGUGAUCAAGCCAUUGAAAACUUUCUAUCAUGGUCUUCUUACAUCAGUUCUGCUGCUGCUCACAGUCCCUUAUAAAAGGAAAUAAGCCUUCAGAGUGCAACCGUCUGUUCAAGCUCUCAGUAGGACUGUUUCUGUUGCCUAUCAUUUGGCGUUCAACUAGCAUCUUGUUUUGGAGAAUGCUCUGAGCUAAGUCAGUUAGGCAUUCAGAACGGAGCAUCACCAGCUGGCAGAAACCAGGUUCCCAGGUUGCCCAGUAGUGUUGCUGGGAUUUCCACUAGAAAAGAUGGCAACUGCUGCGAGCUGAUCCUUGUCUCUGGCAGUGCUACCAAAAAAUGGGUAAUUUUGCCCAGGACCAACACCAGACUAAUGAGAACAUAAUGGAUUUACAGUUGGGAAGUUAUUCUAUAUUUAAAAAAAAAUCAAAAAGAAGAAACUAUAUUAACAAAGUUUUCCAUCCUGCAGGAUGAGGUCGUUAUCUGGGAACACCUACCUGAAUCUCCAUAGGGAACAACCUCAGCUGGUAUACCUGAAAUAUUAUGUACAGAGGAUGUUGAUUAAGAUCUACAAUAAAUAUGCAUAUUUUGCUGCCAGCCCUAACCCAUGCCACUGUGCUGAAAUAAGUGUGCUUGUGUGUGCAGGUGGAUACCAACUCCUGCUCUUCAGGAGCUCUGUUGUGGGUUAUGCAGAUCUAAAGGAGAUAUGUGGCGUUAAUUAUCCAUUCAUAUUUCAUAUCAAACAAUAGCUGGAGGCAGGCAGAGUCAGAUUCGUGUGAGAUGAAUUAGAUCUGCUGUUUGUUUAAAUGAGCUGCUUUUAUAUCUGGGGUGGAAUCAAUUUAAGAUAUAUAUUAAAUGAUUAAAGGCCUGAAUUUUCUUUAUUAUUUCUUUUACAUCAAUGAUUCUAUACCAGAAGCAGAUAGCUGUGUUGACACAAUGUCUUUUCUGCACUGCACUUCUUUUCCAGUUUAUCCUCUGGAAAGAAUGGAGGAGCCUUAGGACCAAGAUCCAAAGAGUGGUCCUUGCUGAUGAUCUCUGGUCUGUGCUGAGGGUGGAAAGCAAACCCUGUAUGAUGGAGAUACUCCAUGCUACUGCCCUACACCUCUGCUGGCUAGCUGGAUGCUUACAUGUCUCGAAAUGAAUGAGCAUCAAAUUCUACUACAGCUGGUCCAGAACUGUGGAGCCAGCAUAUUUACAUCGUGCAGGUGGUUUUGGUCAGUUCCAGAAAGGCAGCAUUAUCUGAAGGCUGGAGCACAGCAAUAUAGACAUAAAAAAC
rnacentral:lncRNA from 1 species